rnacentral:rRNA from 1 species
AUGAACGUUGGCGGCGUGUCUAAGGCAUGCAAGUCGAGCGACGUGUUCCCGCAAGGGAAUUACGAGCGGCAGACGGGUGCGAAACACAUUGGUAACUCACCUUCGAGACGGGCACAGCUCCCCGAAAGGGGAAUUAAUACCCGAUGGUCAUACUGGCGUAAAGCCUGUAUGUAAAUCCUCCGGGGCUCGAAGAGAGGCCUAUGGCCUAUCAGCUAGUUGGUAAGGUAAUGGCUUACCAAGGCUAUGACGGGUAGGGGACGUGAGAGCGUGACCCCCCUCACUGGGACUGAGACACUGCCCAGACUCCUACGGGAGGCUGCAGUCAAGAAUAUUCCACAAUGGACGAAAGUCUGAUGGAGCGACGCCGCGUGCAGGAUGAAGCCCUUCGGGGUGUAAACUGCUUUUAUAUGGGAAGAAUUUGUGACGGUACCAUAUGAAUAAGAGGUUGCUAACUCUGU